UCGCUCGUCUUCUCGUAGCAUGGAGUUUGGGAGAGCGAUAGUUUGCUCUGCUUCUUCAACGAUCUGUUUUCUUGGUUGCCUGAAGGCGAGAUGAGGCCUGGAGCAAUGAGUAUCGACCUUUCUCGGAUUUCCUUUAUUAGAAAUCAAAGUACGGGGGAGUUCUCAACCUAAACGAUAGCAAUGAGUCUCUCUGACUUUUCUUUUUGAAGAUGACCGCGUCGGAUCUUUUCCCGACUCUCUCGGUUUCUGUCUCUUUCAGGAGGAACUAAGACAAGGCAAUAUCUCCUAGUGGAGCCAUUCUCUAAUUCCCUCGCCCUCUCCGCUUUGAGGAAGGAUUCGGGGAAUAGGUUGAUGCUCUAACUGCUGACCUCAUUUUCCAUGUGUUAUUCGGAUGCUUACCUCGAUCAGUUUCUUGCCAUCCAUUUUCGGACUGAGUGAAGAAAGGAAGUGAUGGGUCCCCAGUUUUCUACUCAUUUCCUCUCCUGGACCCUUUCCUAAUUCCCUGGCCUUCUUUGUUUCAAGGAAGAAAUGGAGAGGGAUUUAACCAAAACCCUCCUGAAGUUUCUCCAUAUUUCAGUCUGGAAAGAUUAACUGAAUCGAGCUAGCAUGCCUAGGUCGAGCUGGUACCGCAGAAAGGAACGAUCAUGGCUGAUUCAAGCCCGUAAGUCAAU